rnacentral:rRNA from 1 species
CACGGGGGUUGCGAGCGUUGUCCGGAAUUACUAGGCGUAAAGGGCAGGCAGGCGGAUCCAUAAGUUUAUCGUUUAAGGCGUCGGCUUAACCGGCGUAGGGCGGUAGACACUGUGGAUCUGGAAUGCGGUUGGGGAAGACAGAAUUCCUGGUGUAGCGGUGGAAUGCGCAGAGAUCAGGAGGAAUACCGAAGGCGAAGGCAGUCUUCCAAGCCGUUAUUGACGCUCAACUGCGAAGGUGUGGGUAUCAAACAGGAUUAGAUACCCGCGUAGUCCCUGAG